rnacentral:lncRNA from 1 species
UUUUACAUUGUAAUCGGUUUAGUUAGUUUCACUUAUCACACCCGGUUUGUUCCGGUUAACUGAUUCUAUCAAGUGUAUAUAGUGACUCAUUUGUCACAACGUUAAUACUAACAGAAAAGUAUUUCUAUUUUGGCUUCUUCUUCCUCUCUCAUGAACGUAUUUUUCUCCAUGUUUGCUUGAAGAAGAAUCCAUAUUUUCUGUUCAUUUGUUUCACUAAAAU